UGUUUGAUGUUCUAACGUGGACCCGUGAUCCGGGUUGCGGACAGUGUCUGGUGGGUAGUUUGACUGGGGCGGUCUCCUCCUAAAGAGUAACGGAGGAGCACGAAGGUUGGCUAAUCCUGGUCGGACAUCAGGAGGUUAGUGCAAUGGCAUAAGCCAGCUUGACUGCGAGCGUGACGGCGCGAGCAGGUGCGAAAGCAGGUCAUAGUGAUCCGGUGGUUCUGAAUGGAAGGGCCAUCGCUCAACGGAUAAAAGGUACUCCGGGGAUAACAGGCUGAUACCGCCCAAGAGUUCAUAUCGACGGCGGUGUUUGGCACCUCGAUGUCGGCUCAUCACAUCCUGGGGCUGAAGUAGGUCCCAAGGGUAUGGCUGUUCGCCAUUUAAAGUGGUACGCGAGCUGGGUUUAGAACGUCGUGAGACAGUUCGGUCCCUAUCUGCCGUGGGCGCUGGAGAACUGAGGGGGGCUGCUCCUAGUACGAGAGGACCGGAGUGGACGCAUCACUGGUGUUCGGGUUGUCAUGCCAAUGGCACUGCCCGGUAGCUAAAUGCGGAAGAGAUAAGUGCUGAAAGCAUCUAAGCACGAAACUUGCCCCGAGAUGAGUUCUCCCUGAGACUUUAGGUCUCCUGAAGGAACGUUGAAGACGACGACGUUGAUAGGCCGGGUGUGUAAGCGCAG
rnacentral:rRNA from 1 species